UGAUAAUGAUAAGGGUAAUUUCUGAGCAUACCCUUAAAUCUCUCCCAAGCUUGGUAGAUAUUCUCUCUUUCUUUUUGUUUAAAACUCAAGAUCUCGCUUCUUAAACG
rnacentral:snoRNA from 1 species